rnacentral:tRNA from 1 species
GAGGGUAUAGCUCAGGGGUAGAGUGUGUGCUUAGCAUGCAUGAGGUCCUGGGUUCAAUCCCCAGUACCAUUA